rnacentral:rRNA from 1 species
GACGGAGGAUGCAAGUGUUAUCCGGAAUUACUGGGCGUAAAGGGCGCGUAGGCGGUUCGUCAAGUCCUGUGUGAAAUCCCCCGGCUCAACUGGGGAACUGCACAGGAAACUAGCGGGCUUGAGUUCGGGAGAGGGAAGCGGAAUUCCGGGUGUAGCGGUGAAAUGCGUAGAUAUCCGGAGGAACACCGGUGGCGAAGGCGGCUUCCUGGACCGACACUGACGCUGAGGCGCGAAAGCUAGGGGAGCAAACGGG